AGGAAUUAUCAGUACCUGACAUAUUUCCUACUUACUUAGAUGUCUUCUUCACCACUACGGGGAUUUUGUCACCAUAACUCUAAACUGCUUAUCAGAGUCUCCGAUGUCAUUCACAGUUCCAGUUAAAUGGCUGCAACAAUUUCAGACCUCACAACUGAAGACAGAGAGUGUCUAUUCAGGUAGCUUCCAGAAGUAUCCUGCAAAUGUUGCUUCAUCAGCGGCAGUGACCCUCAUCUUACUGUGCCUUUUAAAAGAUAUUUAUGAUAUG